rnacentral:rRNA from 1 species
CAGUAGCCACGGUAAUACGAAGGGGGCUAGCGUUGUUCGGAUUUACUGGGCGUAAAGCGCACGUAGGCGGACUUUUAAGUCAGGGGUGAAAUCCCGGGGCUCAACCCCGGAACUGCCUUUGAUACUGGGAGUCUUGAGUUCGAGAGAGGUGAGUGGAAUUGCGAGUGUAGAGGUGGAAUUCGUAGAUAUUCGCAGGAACACCAGUGGCGAAGGCGGCUCACUGGCUCGAUACUGACGCUGAGGUGCGAAAGCGUGGGGAGCAAACAGGAUUAGAUACCCGCGUAGUCCAUGUCUCUUAUAC